rnacentral:rRNA from 1 species
ACAAUGGGGCGCAAGCCUGAUCCAGCCAUGCCGCGUGUGUGAAGAAGGUCUUCGGAUUGUAAAGCACUUUAAGUUGGGAGGAAGGGCAGUAAGUUAAUACCUUGCUGUUUUGACGUUACCGACAGAAUAAGCACCGGCUAACUCUGUGCCAGCAGCCGCGGUAAUUAU